rnacentral:rRNA from 1 species
UAAAUUGAGAGUUUGAUCCUGGCUCAGGAUGAACGCUGGCGGCGUGCUUAACACAUGCAAGUCGAGCGAUGAAGUUUCCUUAGGGAAACGGAUUAGCGGCGGACGGGUGAGUAACACGUGGGUAACCUGCCUCAUAGAGUGGAAUAGCCUUUCGAAAGGAAGAUUAAUACCGCAUAAUGUUGAAAGAUGGCAUCAUCAUUUAACCAAAGGAG